AGGCCAUGUCCAUCGACCAUUGUCUUGUCUAAAGAUGCUUUCGAAGCUGUUUCGCGUUCUCCCAAUGCUAAAAUCAACAUUGAAUACAUUCAGGUUUAAUAUGCAUCAGCACGUGCAGAGUUUAGCUAUUUAUUGUGAACAUCAGCUCCAUACAUUGGAAAAUUUGUAAUCUAUACAGUAAAGAUGUCGAGUACUAUAAUUGUACUGCUCUCCAAUAAUUAUAAUUACUUCUCUUUUAAUUAUUUUCUAUCAAGAAUAUUUCCAACUUUUA